AAUAUUUUUUGGCGGGAAAUAGAUUUACAAGGGAUUUUAAAAGGGUUUAAAAAGAUUUACAAGAAAUUUUAAAAGAGUUUUAAAAGAUUUACAAGGGAUUUUAAAAGGGUUUUAAAAUAUUUACAAGGAUUUUAAAAGAGUUUUUUAAAAGAUUUACAAGGGAUUUUAAAGUGCUUUAAAAGAUUUACAAAGCUUUUUUAAAGAUUUUUAAAGGGUUAAAAAUUGUUUUAAAAAGGUUUUAAAAUAUUUACAAGGGAUUUUAAAAGAGUUUUAAAAGAUUUACAAGGUAUUUUAAAAGGGUUUUAAAAUAUUUACAAGGGAUUUUAAAGGGCUUUAAAAGAUUUACAAAGGUUUUUUAAAGAUUUUUAAAUGGUUUAAAAGUGUUUUAAAAGAUUUACAAGGUAUUUUAAAAGGAUUUCAAAAGAUUUACAAGAGAUUUUUAAAGAUGUACAAGUGUUUUUAAAAGAUAUUUAAAGAAUUUACAAGAAGACCCUUUAAAAACUCUUGUAAAUAUUUUAAAAUCUUUUAAAAUCUCUUAUAAAUCUCUUAAAAUACUUUUAAAAUCUCUUGUAAAUUUUUUAAAACCCUUUUAAAAUCCCUUGUAAAUAUUUUAAAACCCUUUUAAAAUCUCUUGAAAAUAUAUUUUUUCCCAAAACAAUUUUACAAGGAUUUGCAUAA
rnacentral:sRNA from 1 species